GGUCACAGUGCCUACCGCGUUCACGUCGCUUCCUCUCAUCGUGGGGGCAUUUUAUCGUCUGACGACAAACACCACGGCAACAAGUAGGAUGUUUUCGUUUCAUCCGUUAAAGCUGAAAUCGAGUCUGGGAUGCAUUUUUGAGGCUCUUACCAAGAUGUCGUAAGAAACCCCAAUGGAGGCCAUGGCCUAAGUGCUCCCCACUUCUUGUCUGCUGCCUCCUGACUACUCUGGAGUUUCUCCAUGAUGGUGCUGGGUGGUGUGCUCUGUCUCCUGUCUCUAGGACCUGACAUGAACAGUGAGACAUAAUCAAGGACACAGUUACCUCUGUGACGGAUGUAAGACGUGUGAUCUUCAGCCAAUCACAGUUUCUUGUCUUUAAAAUCAGGUUGACAAUGACCAUUAAUAGCACUAUUUGACUGCUCAUAUGGAAAACAAUCAUGAAUAUGGAACAAGAAUAUAAAUCUAAGUGUCAUAGUGCCAUGAUGGUAUAUCUAAUGCAGAGAUAAAUCUUGGAUGGUCCUUUUCAUCUGAGAUAGGAUAUUGGAAUGAGACAGCAGUGACAUAAAAUCAGAUACAAAAGGGAAUGGAAAACAAAUACAUACAUGCUGUGUUUAACAAUGGAGAUUUUAAGUCCCAGUUCUUCAACAGCUGAAUCCCUUUGACUUAGUUUGGGACUACAAAAUGAUGAGGGAAGAUUUUUGGAGGAGAAGGUCUCUCUAAAGAAAAUUAAGGCUAUACAGCAUGUCUCUCAGUUGGUGAAGGAGACUUGCAGGCAGCCACCCAUGGACCUUACGUGUGACACCCCACUUCACUCCCCAGAUGGCUGAGAGGAAGAGUGGAGUAGGUCUGACCUCUAACUUGGGAAACACUGAGGCCAAGAGACAAGCGCAGACUUCCUUGGUGGUAGAACUGGGAGAAAGUUGUUAUGUUGGGAAGGAACUACCUGCUUCCCAGAACUUGUCCAGAUACCUAGAGUGACAGAAAGUCCCUGCACCAAGAAGUUGGAAGUGAAGGUAGAAUUCUCAGGUCCCGCAGAAAACAUUUCAAGUCAAACUCUGGAAUUAAAGAUGGAUUUACACGGGUCAAGAAAGGAACAAAGAGAGAUUACCAGAAAAGCAGACUUUUGUGGAACUCAAGAAAGAGUUUACAAGAGAAGUAAUUUGCUUUAGGCACUGCCAUGCCCAGAGGGUACACCUGAAAUCAGCUGAAGAGCAGUGUGACGGGGUUACUGUCUCUGAAGUUAAAAAUAUUAAAUUAAAGGAACUA